rnacentral:tRNA from 1 species
UAAGGUGUUUAUAAAAGCUGCUAACUUUUUACUCAACCCACCUUUA